rnacentral:rRNA from 1 species
UACGUAGGUGGCAAGCGUUGUCCGGAUUUACUGGGCGUAAAGAGCGCGCAGGCGGUCGUUCAAGUCGCGUGUGAAAGCCCCCGGCUCAACUGGGGAGGGUCACGCGAUACUGAUCGACUCGAAGGCAGGAGAGGGUAGUGGAAUUCCCGGUGUAGUGGUGAAAUGCGUAGAUAUCCGGAGGAACACCGGUGGCGAAGGCGGCUUCCUGGACCGACACUGACGCUGAGGCGCGAAAGCAUGGGGAGCGAACAGG